UGAAAGCCAGAAAUGGCUGGAUUUUUCUUUAGAGUAGUCUUCUAGAAGAUUCAGCAGCUAAAAAGCUAUGCUUCCACCAGCUUUCUCAUGCACUUUGCUUACUCCUGCUCACUCUCUUUUCUGCUGGUUGGCCAUAUGUCACACAACAUUGUGACCCCGCACCCUGAGGACUUGGUGCUGCUCGCUGUGCUGAUGACUGCACACUGCUGCCUGCUCACAGCCUGACUCCAGGAGUGCAGUGAGCUCCUUUGACCCGGAGGGUGCUGGCAUGCAGUCCUGUGAAUGCUGAGACCUGUCUCUGUAGAGCCACCUCCUGGACCACUGAUGGUACUAUUUUUAUAUAAUGAAGCAAUAGUCUUCCUGGAAAACAAGGAGCUGCUCAUGGAAAGAUGACUCUGACAGCAGAAGAAUGCUGCUGAGAGCCAGGAGCCAUGUGCAGGGUGGACAGAGAGAAAUUGACAUGGGAAAAGAAGACAGAUAGGGAUAAACAGAGACAACUAUAGCAGUUCUUCACUGCUUUUGAAGCUUCCCCCUGCAGGUCCUGCUGGUGGGAUGGUGCCUUGGAUUGCUGAGAGGACACUGCAGAGUCUGGAGCAUCAAGGAGGAAGAUGGUGACAUAUCAUCAGGUGAAGAGACUGCACUGGUAUGUUUAAAGACUACUCUAAAGAUGCAGUUGUGCUUACUCUGGAUAUUCUUACCUGAGAAUGAUUGAGGAGAAAAAAAGAAGCCACAGGUUCACUUGUUCCUCUCAAAGUCUGUGUGUUGCAGGUAGAGAUGACAGGUUAAUUCUCUACUUCUUAAUUUUUGUUUCCCUCCACAAUUAUUGCUCAGGCUCAGUGCCUGCACUAUGACUCCACUGCUCCUGGAGGCUAUUUUCUCCCUUUGGUGGCCC